CUUGGUCAUUUAGAGGAAGUAAAAGUCGUAACAAGGUUUCCGUAGGUGAACCUGCGGAAGGAUCAUUAGUGAAUUGAAUAUGUUAGCGGACCUCUUCGGAGUCCCUAGCAUCAAAUCAUAUCCAUAACACCUGUGAACUGUAAGGCUGUCUUGAAAACGAAAGUGAUUAGAGCGCCUGCCCAUUUUAUACAAACAUUAAAGUAACAAACGUAGUCUUAUUAUAAUCUAAUAAAACUUUCAACAACGGAUCUCUUGGCUCUCGCAUCGAUGAAGAACGCAGCGAAAUGCGAUAAGUAAUGUGAAUUGCAGAAUUCAGUGAAUCAUCGAAUCUUUGAACGCACCUUGCGCUCUUUGGUAUUCCGAAGAGCAUGCCUGUUUGAGUGUCAUGAAAAUAUCAACCUUGACUUAGGUUUAGUGCUCUUGUCUUGGCUUGGAUUUGGCUGUUUGCCGCUCGAAAGAGUCGGCUCAGCUUAAAAGUACUAGCUGGAUCUGUCUUUGAGACUUGGUUUGACUUGGCGUAAUAAGUUAUUUCGCUGAGGACAAUCUUCGGAUUGGCCGAGUUUCUGGGACGUUUGUCCGCUUUCUAAUACAAGUUCUAGCUUGCUAGACAUGACUUUUUUAUUAUCUGGCCUCAAAUCAGGUAGGACUACCCGCUGAACUUAAGCAUAUCAAUAAGCGGAGGA
rnacentral:rRNA from 1 species